rnacentral:rRNA from 1 species
UACGGGGGGGGCAAGCGUUGUUCGGAAUUACUGGGCGUAAAGGGCUCGUAGGCGGCCAACUAAGUCGGACGUGAAAUCCCUCGGCUUAACCGGGGAACUGCGUCCGAUACUGGAUGGCUCGAGUGUGGGAGAGGGAUGCGGAAUUCCAGGUGUAGCGGUGAAAUGCGUAGAUAUCUGGAGGAACACCGGUGGCGAAGGCGGCAUCCUGGACCACGACUGACGCUGAUGAGCGAAAGCCAGGGGAGCAAACGGGG